UCCGCGCUUGGGUCGCAGGUUGCCGCGGUCCAGCCGACAACCGCGGCCAGAGUUCGGACCGACAUUACGGGACGUCGCGUCAUCCGGUCCGGCCUCCUGCCGCCACACGCAACUGAGGUUCUACGGUUUUCUGCGAAGCUCCGGUCGCAACUGCCGUCAGAUAAGGAGCGUCAGUUUGUGCUGAGUUUCUUCCCGAGCGACGAGACCUUAGAGCUUUCCGAGAUCCACGGAGUGGGCGGUCUGGGCGGGAAGGUUGCCGCCCGCGCGCGACUUCUGAAGCCAGCGCCGCCUGGUGAGCCGCAGCGCCACUACGAGCUC
rnacentral:lncRNA from 1 species